rfam:Schistosoma rodhaini strain Burundi genome assembly, scaffold: SROB_scaffold0014244
AGACCUUUCAAUCCGUGCCGAGAUUUCGUCAGAUACCAGACCAUCGGUACUGAUGGGACUCGCAAGAUAAGCUCA